AACGAACGCUGGCGGCAUGCCUAACACAUGCAAGUCGAACGAGAUCUUCGGGUCUAGUGGCGCACGGGUGCGUAACGCGUGGGAAUCUGCCCUUUGGUUCGGAAUAACAGUUGGAAACGAUUGCUAAUACCGGAUGAUGACGAAAGUCCAAAGAUUUAUCGCCAGAGGAUGAGCCCGCGUAGGAUUAGCUAGUUGGUGUGGUAAAGGCGCACCAAGGCGACGAUCCUUAGCUGGUCUGAGAGGAUGAUCAGCCACACUGGGACUGAGACACGGCCCAGACUCCUACGGGAGGCAGCAGUGGGGAAUAUUGGACAAUGGGCGAAAGCCUGAUCCAGCAAUGCCGCGUGAGUGAUGAAGGCCUUAGGGUUGUAAAGCUCUUUUACCCGGGAUGAUAAUGACAGUACCGGGAGAAUAAGCUCCGGCUAAUUCCGUGCCAGCCGCCGCGGUAA
rnacentral:rRNA from 1 species